rnacentral:rRNA from 1 species
CGGCGGACGGGUGAGUAACGCGUGGGUAACCGUGCCUCAUACAGGGGGAUAACAGUUGGAAACGGCUGCUAAUACCGCAUAAGCGCACAGUACCGCAUGGUACGGUGUGAAAAACUCCGGUGGUAUGAGAUGGACCCGCGUCUGAUUAGGUAGUUGGUGGGUAACGGCCUACCAAGCCGACGAUCAGUAGCCGACCUGAGAGGGUGACCGGCCACAUUGGGACUGAGACACGGCCCAA